rnacentral:rRNA from 1 species
AUACGGAGGGUGCAAGCGUUACUCGGAAUCACUGGGCGUAAAGGGCGCGCAGGCGGUUUGGUAAGUCAGAUGUGAAAGCCCACGGCUCAACCGUGGAAGUGCAUUUGAAACUGUCAGACUUGAGUACUAGAGGGGAAAGUGGAAUUCCCGGUGUAGAGGUGAAAUUCGUAGAUAUCGGGAGGAAUACCGGUGGCGAAGGCGACUUUCUGGCUAGAUACUGACGCUGAGGCGCGAAAGCGUGGGGAGCAAACAGGAUUAGAUACCCCAGUAGUCC